ACGCUCGACACCUACGGAGGCAGCAGUGGGGAAUAUUGCACAAUGGGGGAAACCCUGAUGCAGCGACGCCGCGUGGGUGAAGAAGUAUUUCGGUAUGUAAAGCCCUAUCAGCAGGGAAGAAGAUGACAGUACCUGACUAAGAAGCCCCGGCUAACUACGUGCCAGCAGCCGCGGUAAUCUGAGCGGCUGGCAAGGC
rnacentral:rRNA from 1 species